rnacentral:lncRNA from 1 species
CUCUCUUUUUUCUUUAUCUUUUUCUUUUUCUUUUUUUGGUGGUACUGGGGAUUGAACCAAGGGCUUUGUGCAUGCUAGGCAAGCACUCUACCAAAGAGCUAUAUCCCCAGCCCUAGACUUUUCUUUAAUUGCUGAAAAGGAGAAAUGGAAUGGAAGAAGCAAACAUGGCAAAAAUUUGGUGUUGAAUCUGGGUAAUGGAUAAAUUGGUUCUAUCACACUAUCUCCUCUACUUUUGAUCAUGGUUAUUAAUAGUCACAAUAAAAACAUGAUUGUUGACAGCAUUCAGUUUCCUGAGGGCUGUUGGGCUGAGGCCCCAGUUGCUCACUGCCUUGGGCUAAAGGCUCCUCCCACUGCCUUGCUACCUGGGCCUCUCCACAGGCCAGUUCACAGUCUUGCAGAUGGAUUCCAUGAAGCAAGCAAGUGAGGAAGCAAGAGAGGGCAGGACAGAAGGCGCAGGCUCUUCAUAAACACGAUCUUUCAACUGACUUUCCAUUGUUUCUUGCUCAUCCCACUCUCAAAGGGAGAGGGAUAUAAAAGGAUGUGAACAGCAGGAGGCAGGAUCUCCCGGGCCAUCUUACACCCUGCCUUCCACAGUAACCUAUCCACAGGCUCAACGUGAUGGAGGCUGUGAGCACAGGAAUCAAGCUACACUGUAGCGUGACUCAACUGGACUAUUUAGCUGGAGAACUGCAGAGUCAGUGUUUGGAUUGAUCAAAUUCCCCGAGGAGACUCCUCUAAUCUGCUAGAGGGUGAAAGUUGGACUGCCAGCAAUUUAGAAGCCAAAUGGAGAAGGCCAGGAAUCUCAUCCCCUUAAUCUCCUAUUUACAUUUCUCCCUUUUCCAACUGUGUCUGGUGUCCCACAUUCCACAAACCCUCUGUGCUGUCCUCUCCAGAGAAUAAAAC